rnacentral:tRNA from 1 species
GCCGUCUUAACUCAGUGGUAGAGCGCGUGACUUUUAAUCACGUGGUCAUGGAUUCGAUGGGUUCGAUCCCCAUAGACGGCA